rnacentral:rRNA from 1 species
GACGAACGCUGGCGGCGCGCCUAACACAUGCAAGUCGAACGAGAGAUGAGGAGCUUGCUCUUCAAAUCGAGUGGCGAACGGGUGAGUAACGCGUGAGGAACCUGCCUCAAAGAGGGGGACAACAGUUGGAAACGACUGCUAAUACCGCAUAAGCCCACGGCUCGGCAUCGAGCAGAGGGAAAAGGAGCAAUCCGCUUUGAGAUGGCCUCGCGUCCGAUUAGCUAGUUGGUGAGGUAACGGCCCACCAAGGCGACGAUCGGUAGCCGGACUGAGAGGUUGAACGGCCACAUUGGGACUGAGACACGGCCCAGACUCCUACGGGAGGCAGCAGUGGGGAAUAUUGCACAAUGGGGGAAACCCUGAUGCAGCGACGCCGCGUGGAGGAAGAAGGUCUUCGGAUUGUAAACUCCUGUUGUUGAGGAAGAUAAUGACGGUACUCAACAAGGAAGUGACGGCUAACUACGUGCCAGCAGCCGCGGUAAAACGUAGGUCACAAGCGUUGUCCGGAAUUACUGGGUGUAAAGGGAGCGCAGGCGGGAGAACAAGUUGGAAGUGAAAUCCAUGGGCUCAACCCAUGAACUGCUUUCAAAACUGUUUUUCUUGAGUAGUGCAGAGGUAGGCGGAAUUCCCGGUGUAGCGGUGGAAUGCGUAGAUAUCGGGAGGAACACCAGUGGCGAAGGCGGCCUACUGGGCACCAACUGACGCUGAGGCUCGAAAGUGUGGGUAGCAAACAGAAUUAGAUACCCUGGUAGUCCACACCGUAAACGAUGAUUACUAGGUGUUGGAGGAUUGACCCCCUCAGUGCCGCAGUUAACACAAUAAGUAAUCCACCUGGGGAGUACGACCGCAAGGUUGAAACUCAAAGGAAUUGACGGGGGCCCGCACAAGCAGUGGAGUAUGUGGUUUAAUUUGACGCAACGCGAAGAACCUUACCAAGUCUUGACAUCCCUCGACGAUGCUGGAAACAGUAUUUCUCUUCGGAGCAAGGAGACAGGUGGUGCAUGGUUGUCGUCAGCUCGUGUCGUGAGAUGUUGGGUUAAGUCCCGCAACGAGCGCAACCCUUAUGGUCAGUUACUACGCAAGAGGACUCUGGCCAGACUGCCGUUGACAAAACGGAGGAAGGUGGGGAGGACGUCAAAUCAUCAUGCCCCCUAUGACUUGGGCUACACACGUACUACAAUGGCGUUAAACAAAGAGAAGCAAGACCGCGAGGUGGAGCAAAACUCAGAAACAACGUCCCAGUUCGGACUGCAGGCUGCAACUCGCCUGCACGAAGUCGGAAUUGCUAGUAAUCGUGGAUCAGCAUGCCACGGUGAAUAAGUUCCCGGGCCUUGUACA